AACGGACAGACUUUCACGUGGCUGUAACAAAUAUGGUGAAAUGAUCGAUCAACGUGGAAGAGCGGGCGCCUCGUUUACGGAAAAUGACAACAGACCGCGGUACACACCUGCCUUUCCGACUGGAUAGCUCCCCAAUGUUCUUUGGUCCGUUAUGAGACAUCUUCUGAUCCCUUAGAGUCAGCGAAAGUCGUCUGGAAAGCUGUCUAAUGGGAGGAAUGAGGUUGCUGCUCAGAGAAUACCACGGAUGGAAAGGCCUAGGAGAGGUAUACGUAGUGAGCAAGUAUGGUCUAGUUUCGCUCGCGCUGAUGGAAGAAGCAGCUGCAAGAUGUAGCCAGAAUUGAGAGCGUACCGAAGGGCAUGGAAUUUGAACAUAACAAGUUGAUUCACAAGGCACUGGCU